rnacentral:rRNA from 1 species
UGGGGAAUAUUGCACAAUGGGCGAAAGCCUGAUGCAGCAACGCCGCGUGAGUGAUGAAGGUCUUCGGAUCGUAAAGCUCUGUCCUCAAGGAAGAUAAUGACGGUACUUGAGGAGGAAGCCCCGGCUAACUACGUGCCAGCAGCCGCGGUAAUACGUAGGGGGCUAGCGUUAUCCGGAAUUACUGGGCGUAAAGGGUGCGUAGGCGGUCUUUCAAGCCAGAAGUGAAAGGCUACGGCUCAACCGUAGUAAGCUUUUGGAACUGUAAGACUUGAGUGCAGGAGAGGAGAGUGGAAUUCCUAGUGUAGCGGUGAAAUGCGUAGAUAUUAGGAGGAACACCAGUUGCGAAGGCGGCUCUCUGGACUGUAACUGACGCUGAGGCACGAAAGCGUGGGGAGCAAACA